rnacentral:rRNA from 1 species
CACUCCUACGGGAGGCAGCAGUGGGGAAUUUUGGACAAUGGGCGAAAGCCUGAUCCAGCCAUGCCGCGUGCAGGAUGAAGGCCUUCGGGUUGUAAACUGCUUUUGUACGGAACGAAACGGCCUUUUCUAAUAAAGAGGGCUAAUGACGGUACCGUAAGAAUAAGCACCGGCUAACUACGUGCCAGCAGCCGCGGUAAUACGUAGGGUGCAAGCGUUAAUCGGAAUUACUGGGCGUAAAGCGUGCGCAGGCGGUUAUGUAAGACAGUUGUGAAAUCCCCGGGCUCAACCUGGGAACUGCAUCUGUGACUGCAUAGCUAGAGUAUGGUAGAGGGGGAUGGAAUUCCGCGUGUAGCAGUGAAAUGCGUAGAUAUGCGGAGGAACACCGAUGGCGAAGGCAAUCCCCUGGACCUGUACUGACGCUCAUGCACGAAAGCGUGGGGAGCAAACAGGAUUAGAAACCCCUGUAGUCCCA